UAGAGACUGACCAGUGAGCUGUAGCUCACGAAAGCUUAUGCUCAAAUAAAUUUGUUAGUCUCUAAGGUGCCACAAGUACUCCUUUUCUUUUUUCAGGAUAGGAUAGUCUUUCUUCCUUAUCCUGCAAAGAGCUGAUGGACUCUUACACCUAAGCAGUGCCACUGAUAUUUAGCGGGUACUCAGAAAUACAGAGUUUUGGUUUGAAGUCAGUGGAUCUCUGCACAGCAUAAGAGUUGCCUCUACUAACCUUUUGCAGAACAGGAACCUGAUGCUGUCAAUUUCUAAACUGGCUGAAAACACAUGAUUUUGUGACUCGGUGAGAAAACACAUGUACAAUUUGUACUGAAGUAGGCUCUUGCCUGUAAAAUACCUCUUCAGAUAAAUCUGGUUGCCACAUUUAGUAGAAUGGCACAUGGUGGCUGCCCUUAUUAGAAGUAUGGGUUGAUUCUCAAUUUCUUGUCAAAUCUCCAUAAAGGACAUGUUUGUGGUUAUUGGAAAAACAUUGCUCUCCAUUCUCAUAUAAACCUCAGUUUGGCCUUAGAUCUUUCUGCAGAUGAAGACUAUACAUGUCACUACACACCACUGAUUUUCCCCUAGCUAAUCACACGUGACCUCAGACUCCUCCCAUGCACACUGCUCUGUGAAAAUACAAAAAGAAGGGGAGUGCUUUUCUUGCCUGUGACUGGGAGAGUUAGGGAGUUGACCCUAGCUAGCAGGCAUAGACAGGGCUCCCUCUCGCGAUGGGGCAGGUAGUAGCAAGGUGCCCCACAACUGUGGGUACCUCUGGGUAGCAUCGCAG